UUUUCACUCACAUCAUCACAUUUAUGUUUAAAAUGGUGCACAGUGCAGAGUGGGCCCUGGAUGACUGGUUCUUGAAUAGCCUGCCUCCAUGGGAAACAACUAAAACUGAAAGAGAGGGGACAAAUUUUUAAAUCUUCAUUUCUCCAAGUAAGUUCUCAGCACAGUCUAAAAUGAGAGGUGUUCUGUGCUAUUUUGGACUGUGCUAGAGAGAACUGAGGAUUCGAUUUAAGGUCAUUAGGGAUGGACCAGGAAGGAGAAACACCCCAUGGUGAAAAGUGGGGGUG
rnacentral:lncRNA from 1 species